AGGAAAGGACUUAUUCUUAUCGUUAGAAGGUGAGAUUCUGCUUUUAAAACCAUUUAUUUAAUUCAAAAUAUUUAGUACAUACAGUUUAUAACCGUUCAUAAUUAAGGUCUUUUACGAUGCCUUUCUUACAGAUCCAGAGGUCUGGUUAGCCCUGACCAUUAUCCGAUCGCUAAGACGCUUGCACACUCCCUCAAAGCUCCAUUUGUUUAAGCCCACCUAGAAAUGUUUUUCCCUGAGGGACAGAAUGCGCUAAGAGUGAACAAACUAACGAGUUCAUGACAUGAUCCAGGGAUCUGAUGCAACCACCCCCCAUUGUCAGUGUCCAGUUGGUCAUCAAAAUGCCGGGAUCUCUUGCAAGGUUCAUCAACACUUGGUAAGUUUUCACUCCAGGGGUAGAUCCUACGUCGGGCCUUUUGGUCCUGGCUAUGUCUCAAGGACAGCCGAGGCCAGCGCCUUAACUGUUCGCGAUUUUUGAAGAGAAUGUCCAGCUUAUUCAUAAGUGUUAUGAAAAUUGGAUAAUCCACCCAUUUAAAACUAAACACAGGAAUAAAAAAGUUGACAUCUUUGCAUGCUCUGGAUGCUACUGGAGAAUUGACAGACUUUGUAGCAUUACACGCAUCAUAAACUUCACAGGCUAAAAUUGUCACUUUGUUGUCAGGGCUAUAGUCCAUUGAAGCAAUUCUUAGAGCCUUGAGAUCCCUGCCCCCGAAGACCUGUUCUUCCAACGCAUAGCCGGGCACAGGUGUACCACUCAGGACCUGUUCAAUUUUACAGAGCGCAAGCCUGAUCUUUAGCCAUUCUCUCAUACCAAGAGCAGGAGAAAAACUCCCAGGUUUUGCCGGAUAAACGGGUUUGGGGCCA